GAUGAACGCUGGCGGCGUGCUUAACACAUGCAAGUCGAACGAUGAAGCCCAGCUUGCUGGGUGGAUUAGUGGCGAACGGGUGAGUAACACGUGAGUAACCUGCCCUUAACUCUGGGAUAAGCCUGGGAAACUGGGUCUAAUACCGGAUAGGAGCGUCCACCGCAUGGUGGGUGUUGGAAAGAUUUACCGGUUUUGGAUGGACUCGCGGCCUAUCAGCUUGUUGGUGAGGUAAUGGCUCACCAAGGCGACGACGGGUAGCCGGCCUGAGAGGGUGACCGGCCACACUGGGACUGAGACACGGCCCAGACUCCUACGGGAGGCAGCAGUGGGGAAUAUUGCACAAUGGGCGCAAGCCUGAUGCAGCGACGCCGCGUGAGGGAUGACGGCCUUCGGGUUGUAAACCGCUUUCAGUAGGGAAGAAGCGAAAGUGACGGUACCUGCAGAAGAAGCACCGGCUAACUACGUG
rnacentral:rRNA from 1 species